UACAGAGGUCUCAAGCGUUGUUCGGAUUCAUUGGGCGUAAAGGGUGCGUAGGCGGCGCGGUAAGUCGGGUGUGAAAUCUCGGGGCUUAACUCCGAAGCUGCAUUCGAUACUGCCGUGCUUGAGGACUGGAGAGGAGACUGGAAUUUACGGUGUAGCGGUGAAAUGCGUAGAUAUCGUAAGGAAGACCAGUGGCGAAGGCGGGUCUCUGGACAGUUCCUGACGCUGAGGCACGAAGGUCAGGGGAGCAAACGGG
rnacentral:rRNA from 1 species